CAGCCGCCACGGUAAUACGUAGGUGGCAAGCGUUGUCCGGAAUUAUUGGGCGUAAAGGGCUCGCAGGCGGUUUCUUAAGUCUGAUGUGAAAGCCCCCGGCUCAACCGGGGAGGGUCAUUGGAAACUGGGAAACUUGAGUGCAGAAGAUGAGAGUGGAAUUCCACGUGUAGCGGUGAAAUGCGUAGAGAUGUGGAGGAAUACCAGUGGCGAAGGCGACUCUCUGGUCUGUAACUGACGCUGAGGAGCGAAAGCGUGGGGAGCGAACAGGAUUAGAGACCCCCGUAGUCCCUGUCUCUUAUAC
rnacentral:rRNA from 1 species